rnacentral:rRNA from 1 species
CCAAGGAGUCUAACAUGYUUGCGAGUAUUUGGGUGUCAAACCCGGAUGCGUAAUGAAAGUGAAUGKAGGUGGGARCCGCAAGGUGCAYCAUCGACCGAUCUGGAUKUUUWMGGAUGGAUUUGAGUAAGAGCAURUAUGUUGGGACCCGAAAGAUGGUGAACUAUGCCUGAAUAGGGUGAAGCCAGAGGAAACUCUGGUGGAGGCUCGUASCGGUUCUGACGUGCAAAUCGAUCGUCAAAUUUGGGUAUAGGGGCGAAAGACUAAUCGAACCAUC